GCAGUCGAACGCGUUGGCCCAAUUGAUUGAUGGUGCUUGCACCUGAUUAAUUUUGGUCGCCAACGAGUGGCGGACGGGUGAGUAACACGUAGGUAACCUGCCCAGAAGCGGGGGACAACAUUUGGAAACAGAUGCUAAUACCGCAUAACAGCGUUGUUCGCAUGAACAACGCUUAAAAGAUGGCUUCUCGCUAUCACUUCUGGAUGGACCUGCGGUGCAUUAGCUUGUUGGUGGGGUAACGGCCUACCAAGGCGAUGAUGCAUAGCCGAGUUGAGAGACUGAUCGGCCACAAUGGGACUGAGACACGGCCCAUACUCCUACGGGAGGCAGCAGUAGGGAAUCUUCCACAAUGGGCGCAAGCCUGAUGGAGCAACACCGCGUGAGUGAAGAAGGGUUUCGGCUCGUAAAGCUCUGUUGUUAAAGAAGAACACGUAUGAGAGUAACUGUUCAUACGUUGACGGUAUUUAACCAGAAAGUCACGGCUAACUACGUGCCAGCAGCCGCGGUAAUACGUAGGUGGCAAGCGUUAUCCGGAUUUAUUGGGCGUAAAGAGAGUGCAGGCGGUUUUCUAAGUCUGAUGUGAAAGCCUUCGGCUUAACCGGAGAAGU
rnacentral:rRNA from 2 species